GACGAACGCUGGCGGCGCGCCUAACACAUGCAAGUCGAACGAGCGAGCGAGAGCUUGCUUUCUUGAGCGAGUGGCGAACGGGUGAGUAACGCGUGAGGAACCUGCCUCAAAGAGGGGGACAACAGUUGGAAACGACUGCUAAUACCGCAUAAGCCCACGGUGCCGCAUGGCACAGAGGGAAAAGGAGCAAUCCGCUUUGAGAUGGCCUCGCGUCCGAUUAGCUAGUUGGUGAGGUAACGGCCCACCAAGGCGACGAUCGGUAGCCGGACUGAGAGGUUGAACGGCCAAAUUGGGACUGAGACACGGCCCAGACCCCUGCGGGGGGCGGCAGGGGGGAAUAUUGCACAAUGGGGGAACCCCUGAGGCGGCGGGGCCGGGGGGAGGAAGAAGGUUUUCGGAUUGUAAACCCCUUUUUGUGGGGAAGAUAAGGACGGUACCAAACAAGGAAGGGACGGCAAACUCCGG
rnacentral:rRNA from 1 species